rnacentral:rRNA from 1 species
AAGAGGAGCUUGCUUUUCUUAGCUUAGUGGCGAACGGGUGAGUAACGCGUGAGUAACCUGCCCUGGAGUGGGGGACAACAGUUGGAAACGACUGCUAAUACCGCAUGACGCAUUUUGAUCGCAUGGUCGAAAUGCCAAAGAUUUAUCGCUGAAAGAUGGCCUCGCGUCUGAUUAGAUAGUUGGCGGGGUAAUGGCCCACCAAGGCGACGAUCAGUAGCCGGCCUGAGAGGGUGAACGGCCACAUUGGGACUGAGACACGGCCCAAACUCC